rnacentral:rRNA from 1 species
AUUGAACGCUGGCGGCAGGCCUAACACAUGCAAGUCGAGCGGAGCGGCAGACGGGUGAGUAAUGCCUAGGAAUCUGCCUGGUAGUGGGGGAUAACGUCCGGACACGGGCGCUAAUACCGCAUACUAUCAGAUGAGCCUAGGUCGGAUUAGCUAGUUGGUGUGUUAAAGGCCUACCAAGGCGACGAUCAGUAACUGGUAUGAGAGGAUGAUCAGUCAAACGGGACAGUAGAUACGGUCCAGAUUCCUACGGGAGGCAGAAGGGGGGAUUAUUGGACAAUGGGCGAAAGAUUGAUCAAGAAAUGCGGAGUGUGGGAAGAAGGUCUACGGAUUGUAAAGCAGUUGAAGUUGGGAGGCGUUACCAACAGAAUAUGCACAGACUAACUUCGUGCCAGCAGCCGCGGUAAUAC